rnacentral:rRNA from 1 species
UACGUAGGGUGCGAGCGUUGUCCGGAAUUAUUGGGCGUAAAGAGCUUGUAGGCGGUUGUCGCGUCUGCUGUGAAAAUCCGGGGCUCAACCCCGGACUUGCAGUGGGUACGGGCAGACUAGAGUGUGUAGGGGAGACUGGAAUUCCUGGUGUAGCGGUGAAAUGCGCAGAUAUCAGGAGGAACACCGAUGGCGAAGGGCAGGUCUCUGGGCCACUACUGACGCUGAGAAGCGAAAGCAUGGGGGAGCGAACAGGG